rnacentral:rRNA from 1 species
UACGGGAGGCAGCAGUGAGGAAUAUUGGUCAAUGGGCGCGAGCCUGAACCAGCCAAGUAGCGUGCAGGAUGACGGCCCUAUGGGUUGUAAACUGCUUUUAUACAGGGAUAAAGUAGGGAACGUGUUCCCUUUUGCAGGUACUGUAUGAAUAAGGACCGGCUAAUUCCGUGCCAGCAGCCGCGGUAAU